UGGUCAAUGGGCGCAAGCCUGAACCAGCCAUCCCGCGUGCAGGAUGAAGGCCCUAUGGGUCGUAAACUGCUUUUAUACGCCAAGAAAAACACAGACGAGUCUGUGCCUGACGGUAGUGUAUGAAUAAGCAUCGGCUAACUCCGUGCCAGCAGCCGCGGUAAUACGGAGGAUGCAAGCGUUAUCCGGAUUCAUUGGGUUUAAAGGGUGCGUAGGCGGCUUUUUAAGUCAGUGGUGAAAUCUUGCCGCUUAACGGUAAAAUUGCCAUUGAUACUGAGGAGCUUGAGUACAGUUGAGGUAGGCGGAAUGUGUAGUGUAGCGGUGAAAUGCUUAGAUAUUACACAGAACACCAAUUGCGAAGGCAGCUUACUAAACUGGUAACUGACGCUGAUGCACGAAAGCGUGGGGAGCGAACAGGAUUAGAUACCCUGGUAGUCCACGCCGUAAACGAUGCUCACUCGCUGUUUGCGAUACACAGCAAGCGGCCAAGCGAAAGCAUUAAGUGAGCCACCUGGGGAGUACGAUCGCAAGGUG
rnacentral:rRNA from 1 species